rnacentral:ncRNA from 1 species
GGCGACGGGAAGUUUGAGUUUGAGGCGAGGCAAUAGGCAAUAACAAUAACAGGAGGUCUGUGAUGCCCUUAGAUGUUCUGGGCCGCACCAGCGCUACACUGAUGUAUUCAACGAGUAUAUAGCCUUGGCCGACAGGCCCGGGUAAUCUUGGGAAAUUUCAUCGUGAUGGGGAUAGAUCAUUGCAAUUGUUGGUCUUCAACGAGGAAUGCCUAGUAAGCGCGAGUCA